GCAGCCCCUAUCUCACACUACAGCCCUACCGCUAAAUGUAGACCCUAGAGCCCCUAUAAUCCAAUUCCAGCCCAUAUCCUCCACACUACCUGCACUAUCCCUCACACUGCACCCCUAUCCUCCACUUUUAGCCCUUAUCCCCUACUACAACCGCCAUUCCCUUACUACAGUCCCUAAAUCCACUUACAGUCCCUCCCCUCUACAAACCCUCUCCUCCAAUUGCAGCCCAUACCUCCCACACUACAGCCCCUUUCUGGCCAUUCUAAGGCCCGGUAAGACGUUACCUUUUAGUCCUAGGUGUGAAACAGUUCUACGUGCUGGAUCAACUAGUAAACCUGACAAUAACCACCCUUACCUGGGGGUUUCAAAAAUAUUCUUGCACCAAGGCAUCAGUGACCCUAGGAUCGGCC